rnacentral:rRNA from 1 species
GACAGAGGAUGCAAGCGUUAUCCGGAAUUAUUGGGCGUAAAGCGUCCGCAGGUGGCAAUUCAAGUCUGCUGUUAAAGGUCAGGGCUCAACCCUGAACAGGCAGUGGAAACUGAAUAGCUAGAGUGCGGUAGGGGCAGAGGGAAUUCCCAGUGUAGCGGUGAAAUGCGUAGAGAUUGGGAAGAACACCGGUGGCGAAAGCGCUCUGCUAGGCCGUAACUGACACUCAUGGACGAAAGCUAGGGGAGCGAAUGGG